UUCGGCUUCAGGACAAAGUGGCGCUGCGUCCACGCUGACUAGGGAACUAGGUCUCCUGAGGACCCAGGUGAUGCCUGAGGAAAAGGUGAAGAGACGGUCGUCCACAACACGGAGGACAGCGGCUCCUAAUAUAACCUUCCCACAGUGCCUCUAAAUGACGUGUGGACUUUGGGUGAACUGGAUCUGGGACUCCUAGGACCCUCGGGUGUGCAUCAUUUUCCCUCCAAGAUCACUGAGUACCUCCACACCCCUGUGGGCCUGCUGAGCAACAUCGAGGCCCAAAGGUCCCUCGGAGGCCCUCUGUG